AUACGGAGGGUGCAAGCGUUAAUCGGAAUUACUGGGCGUAAAGCGUACGUAGGCGGUUAUUUAAGUCAGAUGUGAAAGCCCCGGGCUUAACUUGGGAACUGCAUUUGAAACUGGGUAACUAGAGUUUAGUAGAGGGGAGUGGAAUUUCAGGUGUAGCGGUGAAAUGCGUAGAGAUCUGAAGGAACACCAGUGGCGAAGGCGACUCCCUGGACUAGAACUGACGCUGAGGUACGAAAGCGUGGGUAGCAAACAGGAUUAGAAACCCCUGUAGUCC
rnacentral:rRNA from 1 species